UACGAAGGGGGCUAGCGUUGUUCGGAUUUACUGGGCGUAAAGGGUGCGUAGGCGGAUUUUAAGUCAGGGGUGAAAUCCCAAGGCUCAACCUUGGAACUGCCUUUGAUACUGGGGAUCUUGAGUCCGGGAGAGGUGAGUGGAACUGCGAGUGUAGAGGUGAAAUUCGUAGAUAUUCGCAAGAACACCAGUGGCGAAGGCGGCUCACUGGCCCGGAACUGACGCUGAGGCACGAAAGCGUGGGGAGCAAACAGG
rnacentral:rRNA from 1 species